GUGCCAGCCAGCCGCGGUAAUACGUAUGGGGCUAGCGUUGUUCGGAAUUAUUGGGCGUAAAGGGCGUCUAGGCGGGGGAUUAAGUUAGGUGUGAAAUCCCUGGGCUCAACCCAGGAACUGCAUCUAAAACUGGUUCUCUUGAGUUCGGGAGAGGAGAGCGGAAUUCCCGGUGUAGCGGUGAAAUGCGUAGAUAUCGGGAAGAACACCAGUGGCGAAGGCGGCUCUCUGGCCUAGAACUGACGCUGAAGCGCGAAAGCGUGGGGAGCGAACGGG
rnacentral:rRNA from 1 species